rnacentral:rRNA from 1 species
AGCAGCCGCCGCGUAAUACGUAGGGUGCGAGCGUUAAUCGGAAUUACUGGGCGUAAAGCGUGCGUAGGCGGUUCGUUAAGUCUGUUGUGAAAGCCCCGGGCUCAACCUGGGAAUGGCAAUGGAUACUGGCGAGCUAGAGUGUGUCAGAGGAUGGUGGAAUUCCCUGUGUAGCGGUGAAAUGCGUAGAGAUCGGGAGGAACAUCAGUGGCGAAGGCGGCCAUCUGGGACAACACUGACGCUGAGGCGCGAAAGCGUGGGGAGCAAACAGGAUUAGAUACCCCCGUAGUCCCUGUCUCUUAUACC